AUGGUAACUGCGCCACGGCGGAGACGCCGCGGAUCCCCCUCGCUUCCUGCCGCGACACCGGGUUCAGGCGGGGCGGCCGCGGCCGCCUCGGGGACCCCGCCGCGGGUAGCCCACAGGGAUGCCAGCUCCUGUGACGGUGUCGAUAUGAAGGAAGUUGAGCAGCCACCUUGUUCCUAAGCUGGACUUCUCUCCAUAUUACCGUUGUGGAGCAGCUCAAGUGGUACGACAUACUUUGAACCAACUACUGAAGGAGGUAAAGAGAAAAAGACCAUAGAGUUGGCUGAAGAAAGCAAUAUGGAAACUGGCACAGCAGAGAAGAGGUUGUUUGCCUGCUUUGUUCAGAAACAAAUGUGCCAUGCACAAAAGGUGAUGGGAGUCUCGCAGUUCAUUAAUAAAGCACUUUUCCAGUCGUCGUCUCUUACUGGGUAUCUUUAGUUAUUGCAUGAGAUGUAUUAAUUGUUUAAACAAUACUCCUUAAAAUAUUAAGCAGAAGAAGGGAAAUUACAAAAGGGACUGUAAACUGAAUUUAGACUUCGAGUUCUGCACCCUGUGCUAGUUCAGUCUUGAUUGCAGUUUACUUCACAGACAGGAUCUAUGUGACAACAGUUGAAUUUUGGUCGUACUUCCAGAGAUCUUGUGACCAAGGUCAGUGGGAUUUGCAUGUCUUUGCACAUUACCUUUUUACUGAUAAAUAAGAGCACACUAGAUUUACAUAAGGCAUGUGGAACUAUCAGAACGUCAGUAGGUUCCUGUUCAAUAGUAAUGAACAUGGCACAGUCAAGACAGCAAAGGGGACAUUCAUUAUAAGGUGGGAUUUACCAUGACCAUUUUGGGAGUAUUGCAUUUCUUCCCCAGUAAUUCAGCUACAACACCAUUUUACCAGCCAGUCUUAUGAACCAGUGGAAUUAAGUGGUUAUUUUAAAAAAUGGGGACUCCAAAAUGCGUUUGUCUAGGAUAAAACGUCGUCAUCUCUAAAGAUUCUUGGUUGCAUCCAACAAGGUACAUCACAAUUUAGGAGGGCUAACGGGCAAAGGUGCUCAUCACGUGGGGGAUUUGGGGAGGAGUGGAGAGCUUGUGGUAAGCAAAUAUAAGACUCAAUACCCUUGAAGCAUCAUCAGCCAGGUAUCCUGAUGUGUUGUAGAGCAGAGGCUGUGCUUGGUGGUUUUCCUACCACUGCUCCAGUGUCCAAGUCCUGUUGCAACAGAACUGUCUCUGAAUGCUUUUUAACACUUUGAUAUGACCUUAUAAACAACUGUAGACACCUCCAAAACAAGGAAGAUGUGGAUUUUAUGCCUAAUUCAAUCUGAAGGACUUCUAGCUCAGGUUUCUCAUGAAGUAGCAGAGACUUGACUAUUCAGCUGUUCACUGGAUUGGGAUCAGGGGUGUCCUUUGUACAAUUAGGAGUGCAAAAUUUAUAGGAUCAGGGUGAGGGAGAGCACAAGCAAGAGAAACAGGACUUUGUAAUCCAAUUAUGAGGUCACUUACCUGUGAGGGAGGAAAGACAGGCUGUACUUUGAGGACUGUGUAUGUAUUUUACAUGAAACAGUACAGAGUUUAUUAGCAGUCUGUUUAUGCUUCCAAGAACUAAGUAAAGCC